CUCCAAUGCUUUUGAGCAUGCUCAGAUGCACAGGAAAGGAGGCCUUGUUAAAUGAGAGACCAGACGUUGCUGCCUCACUACGAAAGGCACCGCCUCUAAAAACCCGGAAGUUUUAUCUCUUCCUGAGCAGAAGGGACUGUACUCGUGUGAUUUUAUGUCUGUUGGUGGGGGAGUGGGCGGAGCACGCACGCAGGGUGAUAGAGAAGAACUCGGGCAGAGCGACCCCUUUUCUUUUUCCCCCCAUCCAACAUGGCGGUCGUCGUGGACCGGGUUGGCUGCGAUCACUAUUGCCGUGGCUGCUUGCUCAAGGCUCCAUGUUGUAGCAAGUUUUAUAUAUGCCGUCUCUGUCAUGAUAAUAACGAAGAUCACCAGAUGGAUCGUUUUAAAGUACAAGAAGUGCAGUGUGCAAAAUGUGGAAAAGUUCAGAAGGCUCAGAAGAGUUGUGAGAAUUGCAACAGUGUGUUUGGAGAAUAUUACUGCAGUAUAUGUCACCUUUUUGACAAAGACAAGAAGCAAUACCAUUGUGAUAAGUGUGGGAUUUGUAGGAUUGGUCCGAAAGAAGAAUUCUUCCAUUGUUCUAAAUGCAACUUGUGUCUGGCUCUGACACUCCAAGGGAAUCAUAAGUGCAUUGAAAAUGUUUCAAGACAAGAUUGUCCCAUAUGUUUGGAGGACAUUCAUACUUCACGUGUUGGAGCUCACGUCCUGCCCUGUGGGCACCUUCUUCAUCGAACUUGUUAUGAAGACCUUCUAAAAGAAGGCUAUAGAUGUCCUUUGUGUAUGCAUUCAGCGUUGGAUAUGUCCAGGUACUGGCAACAACUAGAUGAUGAAGUGGCUCAAACUCCAAUGCCCACGGAAUAUCGGAACAUGACAGUAGAGAUUCUUUGCAACGACUGCACUUCUAGAUCUACAGUACAAUUCCAUAUUCUGGGCAUGAAGUGCAAAGACUGUGGCUCGUAUAACACGACCCAGGAUGGCGGCUGCCGGGUGUCUCGGAACAGCAGUGACUGAGAUCAUCCAUGUAAGACCACAUCGCUUGAUACUGCGAGUUGCCGACCUUUCAUAUAGAAGGACACUUUGUGAUCCUGGCUCCUCAUCUUCACUACUUCUGGAGUUUUGAGUUAUAUAUAAUGUACAGAUACUUAACACACUUUCAGAUGUGACAAUUGAAUUUUAGUUGCAAGUGUUAACAUAUUAGGUAUUCACACAUCUGUCAAUUUUAUUGAUCCUGCAAAACCCCAGUAGUUCAUAAUGGGACUUUCUCAGGUGGUUUAGAAUCAGGUUCUGUAUUAAAUUGUAUUCAGGUAUUUACGUUUAAAUGUCUUUUUUAAAAUAUAAAAGUUCCCUAAAACAUUGACUGUACUGUGCAUUUUUUAAACUACUUGAAUGAGUAAGAUUGAAUUCAAAGCAGCUAUGAGAUAGUCCUGAACAAAAUGUCUUCUGCUUUUGAGGCUUUUGAGGCUUAAUAGAAGAUGGUACUGAAACCUAACUGGAUUCUGUUCCUCCAAAGCUUGAAAUUCUUGGGAGCCAGGAGAUAUGGUAUAGUAGAGCUAAUCUAUGUAAAAUACUGCCUGCAGGUGCAUAAAUACAUUUUCUAGAACAUUUCGUUUGCUGCUGUGGAGUGUUCUGUAUAUUGCCUGUAAAGUAAGAUCUUUAAUAAAAAUAAAUCAGUUUUGACUUCA